UUCAACUCAAUUUUUUGAUUAUAAAUAGCAUUACUUUGCUUUCAUCAAACAUCCAAGAUACAAAAGAGAAAAAGGAUAUUCAGUUGAGAAAAGGAACUGCAAAAUAUUACGAAUUAUGAAUUUCAUUAAAGUUCUAGUGACUUUUUUUUCUUUUUGUGACUCUUUUAGCAAGUGUUGAAGCUGUUGGUGAGAAUGGAUUAUCUUGCAAAGCAAAAUGUGUACUCGCUUGUAUAAUUAGUAGAACGCCUGGUUGCAUGGACAAUUGCAUGAACCAAUGUCAUGUUCAGAUUUCUCGUGAAGAAUCAAAUUGUAAUCUUGCUUGUUCAAUUGAACGUUGCUCCAAAUUUAAAGCAGAUUCGAAGCUAAUGGCAAAGGCUUGGAAGAAUGUUCAACAAAAUACUGCCCCAAGAAAGACAUGAACAGAAACUAAAACAAAUAUUUACGCUAUCGAUCUUAUUGAUUCUCCAAAUGUAUUGACCUAUAUUUGUUACUAAGGAAGUGGAGUAAUAUUUUUGGUAA